rnacentral:rRNA from 1 species
GGGCCCGCACAAGCGGUGGAGUAUGUGGUUUAAUUCGAUGCAACGCGAAGAACCUUACCAGGGUUUGACAUCCUGCGAAUCUCUUGGAAACAGGAGAGUGCCUUCGGGAACGCAGUGACAGGUGGUGCAUGGCUGUCGUCAGCUCGUGUCGUGAGAUGUUGGGUUAAGUCCCGCAACGAGCGCAACCCACGUCUUUAGUUGCCAGCAUUUAGUUGGGCACUCUAGAGAGACUGCCGGUGAUAAACCGGAGGAAGGUGUGGAUGACGUCAAGUCAUCACGGCCCUUACGUUCUGGGCUACACACGUGCUACAAUGGCCGGUACAGAAAGCAGCCACUAUGCGAAUAGGAGCUAAUCUUUAAAACCGGUCUCAGUUCGGAUCGCAGUCUGCAACUCGACUGCGUGAAGCUGGAAUCGCUAGUAAUCGGAUAU